AUUGAACGCUAGCGGGAUGCUUUACACAUGCAAGUCGAACGGCAGCACGGACUUCGGUCUGGUGGCGAGUGGCGAACGGGUGAGUAAUGUAUCGGAACGUGCCCAGUAGCGGGGGAUAACUACGCGAAAGCGUGGCUAAUACCGCAUACGCCCUACGGGGAAAGGGGGGAGUCGCAAGACCUCUCACUAUUGGAGCGGCCGAUAUCGGAUUAGCUAGUUGGUGGGGUAAAGGCCUACCAAGG
rnacentral:rRNA from 1 species